rnacentral:rRNA from 1 species
GUGGGGAAUUUUGGACAAUGGGCGCAAGCCUGAUCCAGCAAUGCCGCGUGCAGGAAGAAGGCCUUCGGGUUGUAAACUGCUUUUGUACGGAACGAAACGGUCCUGGUUAAUACCUGGGGCUAAUGACGGUACCGUAAGAAUAAGCACCGGCUAACUACGUGCCAGCAGCCGCGGUAAUACGUAGGGUGCGAGCGUUAAUCGGAAUUACUGGGCGUAAAGCGUGCGCAGGCGGUGCUGUAAGACAGGCGUGAAAUCCCCGGGCUCAACCUGGGAAUUGCGCUGGUGACUGCAGUGCUGGAGUACGGCAGAGGGGGAUGGAAUUCCGCGUGUAGCAGUGAAAUGCGUAGAUAUGCGGAGGAACACCGAUGGCGAAGGCAGUCCCCUGGGCCUGUACUGACGCUCAUGCACGAAAGCGUGGGGAGCAAACAGGAUUAGAUACCCCGGUAGUCC